UACGUAGGGGGCAAGCGUUGUCCGGAAUCAUUGGGCGUAAAGCGCGUGUAGGCGGCUUGGUAAGUCUGCUCUGAAAGCCCGGGGCUCAACCCCGGGAGGCGGGUGGAUACUGUCAAGCUCGAGUCCGGAAGAGGAGUGUGGAAUUCCUGGUGUAGCGGUGAAAUGCGCAGAUAUCAGGAAGAACACCCGUGGCGAAGGCGGCUCUCUGGGACGGUACUGACGCUGAGACGCGAAAGCGUGGGGAGCGAACAGG
rnacentral:rRNA from 1 species